rnacentral:rRNA from 1 species
GACGAACGCUGGCGGCGUGCUUAACACAUGCAAGUCGAACGAGAAUCACUGGAAGGAGUUUUCGGACAACGGAAGGUGAGGACAGUGGCGGACGGGUGAGUAACGCGUGAGGAACCUGACUUUCAGAGGGGGACAACAGUUGGAAACGACUGCGAAUACCGAAUGACACAGAGAGAUCGCAUGGAUGUGAUGUCAAAGAUUUAUAGCUGAAAGAUGGCCUCGCGUGUGAUUAGCUAGUUGGUGGAGUAACGGCCCACCAAGGCCGCGAUCAGUAGCCGGACUGAGAGGUUGACCGGCCACAUUGUGACUGAGAUACGGCCCAGACUCCUACGGGAGGCAGCAGUGGGGAAUAUUGGGCAAUGGGCGCAAGCCUGACCCAGCAACGCCGCGUGAAGGAAGAAGGCUUUCGGGUUGUAAACUUCUUUUGUCGGGGACGAGUAGAAGACGGUACCUGGCGAAUAAGCCACGGCUAACUACGUGCCAGCAGCCGCAGUAAGAC